CCCCUUGAGGAUGAUCAACUGAUCUCGCAUAUCCUUGCGGGUCUUGACAUGGAGUCCCAGCCGCUGGUUUCAGCGCUGGAUGCUCGCACCACCCCGGUCACGCUCGAUGAGCUCUUCGCUCAGAUGAGCAAUUUUGACC
rfam:Hordeum vulgare subsp. vulgare, WGS project CAJW01000000 data, contig: morex_contig_65075